GGGUACGUGUCUGAAUGGUUUAGGUGCAGGAUUGCAAAUCCUUGCUAUGUCGGUUCAAAUCCGACCGUACUCU
rnacentral:tRNA from 1 species